GGGAAUCCGGGUGAAAAUCCCGAACAGAUGCGCUACCGUAAUUGCCAACAGGCAAAAGCCGGGAACC
rnacentral:ncRNA from 1 species